rnacentral:lncRNA from 1 species
CUAAGUCCUAACCCUUCGCUUAUAUAUAUAUACUGCUAUAUAAUCAGUAAACCCUAAAUCCUAAUUACAAUAUACUGCGCAGCUUCCUUCUUCUUCUUUGAUAAACGAUCUUCUUCGGUUCUUGUUCUUACUUCUUCGUCUUCCUCAUUUUCUCCCAAACAUUAAUAAGAAACAUCGCCGCUCUCUCCCGCUCUGAAGUGCUUCAGGUAAGUUCUUUUCAUAUUUCAGGUCAGCUUUAUUUUCAUUUUUUCGCCAAUUUCUUUAUUUCCCCAAUUUGUUUCGGUUCUAUUUAGACUUUUAAAUUUUGACGACUGAAUAUAAUGGCUGAUGUCGUUCUUAAUCUGUCUAAUUCUCGCUCCAAUUNNNN